UCUUCAUUUGGUUUUUCACAGUGUUUCAAUUCCCUUUUUCUUUCAUCUGGUUAACAGAACUGUAUACAAUUAUCUGAAGUGUGGUCUAAACGAGCCUGGAUGCAGGGUUGAAAAGAUUCGGUCGUGUUAAUGCACUGAAGUUACAUGAUGUUCUGGGGAGUCAACACGUGAGGAAAAAUUAUUUUAAACUUCAAGUUUCCGGGAUAGGUCCGCAAACACAUUCGCAAAAAUAUUGCUCACUUCCUGAGACCUCAAACUCUUUGGGAAUAUUCUGCCUGGAC